rnacentral:rRNA from 2 species
ACGCUGGCGGUAGGCCUAACACAUGCAAGUCGAACGGCAGCACAGGAGAGCUUGCUCUCUGGGUGGCGAGUGGCGGACGGGUGAGGAAUACAUCGGAAUCUACUUUUUCGUGGGGGAUAACGUAGGGAAACUUACGCUAAUACCGCAUACGACCUACGGGUGAAAGCAGGGGAUCUUCGGACCUUGCGCGAUUGAAUGAGCCGAUGUCGGAUUAGCUAGUUGGCGGGGUAAAGGCCCACCAAGGCGACGAUCCGUAGCUGGUCUGAGAGGAUGAUCAGCCACACUGGAACUGAGACACGGUCCAGACUCCUACGGGAGGCAGCAGUGGGGAAUAUUGGACAAUGGGCGCAAGCCUGAUCCAGCCAUACCGCGUGGGUGAAGAAGGCCUUCGGGUUGUAAAGCCCUUUUGUUGGGAAAGAAAUCCAGCUGGUUAAUACCCGGUUGGGAUGACGGUACCCAAAGAAUAAGCACCGGCUAACUUCGUGCCAGCAGCCGCGGUAAUACGAAGGGUGCAAGCGUUACUCGGAAUUACUGGGCGUAAAGCGUGCGUAGGUGGUCGUUUAAGUCCGUUGUGAAAGCCCUGGGCUCAACCUGGGAACUGCAGUGGAUACUGGGCGACUA